rnacentral:tRNA from 1 species
GUCCCCGUGGCCUAAUUGGUUAAGGUGUCCACCUCCGGUAUUUUCCUUUGAAUCAAAGAUUACUUGUUUUAGAGAGUUUAGUGGAUGAUUGCGGGUUCGAGUCCCGCCGGGGACU